CUCAUGCAUCAUGUUUAUGCCAUAGGUUGAUUGCAUUAGUAUUCACAAAUAUGGUGCAUUGCAUCGUUAUUUGGUGAUGUGAGUGAAUGCUGAAUGAUCCAAUAGUCUCAGACAGGAAGUCCAGGAGCCUUUGACUACGCCCUGGCACGUAUAGCAAAGACCAGGAGCCUUUGACUACGCCCUGGCAGGUAUAUAGCAAAGACCAGGAGCCUUUGACUACGCCCUGGCAAUGGUAAGUUCACAG
rnacentral:lncRNA from 1 species